rnacentral:misc_RNA from 1 species
AAGUCGUAACAAGGUUUCCGUAGGUGAACCUGCGGAAGGAUCAUUAACAAAUCUAAAUCGCGAUCUAGUGGGUGGGCCGAGGGUGAAAGCAAGUGGGUGGGCAGAGGGCAUGGGAUGGGGGCCGGUCGAGGGCGUUGGCAGAGGGCGUUGGCAGAGGGCGGUUCAUUAUCAUGAUGGGCCAAAUACAAUACAACUUGCAUUAUGCAAUAUACAACCUUUAACAAUGGAUCUCUAGGCUCUU